UUCUUAGAUGUACACAGCAGGGCCGUAUCCAGAGGUUGGGCAGAGGGGGUUACAAAAUGGCGAUGCGAAGCUUCGCCCCGAGCCGCGAAGCGGUGAAUGGGGGGAGAGUCCGGCCAAUUUUUUUUUUUUAACAUGCUUAGAUGCUAUUUCCUGGCAUCUAGUUCACUUCAAUUGUUUGUUGAAUU